rnacentral:sRNA from 1 species
GCUGAUGGCGCGUCGGAGUCCCUGGCGCUCCGCCCAGUCGGCCCAGACUGCAGCUCCCGGUUGAGAUGUGUCUUUGCCGCCCUCUUCUCCCCCAGAGGGCCCAGUAUCAAGACAAGCUGGCCCGGCAGCGCUACGAGGACCAACUGAAGCAGCAGCAACUUCUCAAUGAGGAGAAUUUACGGAAGCAGGAGGAGUCCGUGCAGAAGCAGGAAGCCAUGCGGCGAGCCACCGUGGAGCGGGAGAUGGAGCUGCGGCACAAGAACGAGAUGCUGCGAGUGGAGGCCGAGGCCUGGGCGCGCGCCAAGGCCGAGCGGGAGAAUGCAGACAUCAUCCGCGAGCAGAUCCGCCUGAAGGCGGCCGAGCACCGUCAGACCGUCUUGGAGUCCAUCAGGACGGCUGGCACCUUGUUUGGGGAAGGAUUCCGUGCCUUUGUGACAGACUGGGACAAAGUGACAGCCACGGUGGCUGGGCUGACGCUGCUGGCUGUCGGGGUCUACU